rnacentral:misc_RNA from 1 species
GACAAACUUAUUUAUGAUUAAAAGUGUUCUGUCGCAGUUUUAUUAUUUCAUUUUCGACUUGAUAUCAUAAUUGUGAAUUGUGAUAUUGUGAUUUUUAUUUGGCUUGAGGCUUGUAGCUUGUUCUUCCUUACCCUUACUCCCUUUGCAUUUGUAUGUAUAUUCCCUACCUCCUGGCAGUACUGCAAUUACAUUACCGUAGCGUCUGCUUGUGUGCGUGUGUAUAGAUUUCGCCCGCCCGAAAUUCUUCAUGUAGUGUUCGCAUGAAUAGUUCUUGGACCUAUUCCUUUGCUUCAAAUUGUUUAGAUAAAAAAUGACGAGAGAUACUGUUAGGUCUAGUUUGAGCUAUUUGGCGCAAGCUAUUUUCUGUCAAAGGUUUAAAUUUUUGUGAAACAAUGUCCAGGCAAAAUUCCAAUUUCGUCUCGAGGACCCAGUCGUUCGAAAGGUCUCGCCGGUUCAUUCAAUCUGUAUCUGAUAUAUAUGGAAAAGACGAAAUGGAAGAGUUACUUGACGAAAUCCGCCAUCUAGAACCUUGCAAUUUUCAGUCUGGGGACAUACAGGACUUUGAAAUCAAUGGAAGUCGUCACCUGCAAAACACAGGAGAAUCAACUAUAUCGGUGUCUGUUCAGUCCUGGGACUCUCACGCUAUGUAUCGUCACAGAACAGAUAACAUGAAAGCUCCAGUUGAGGUUAUCCAAUCUAUACUAGUUCAUUUCCGCCCUUCACAGUGCUUGGAGAAACUGGAGCUUUUCCGAUUGGCAUUUCUGACAUGUUGCAUUGGAAGUCUGACUUGUGUAUAUCUCAGUGAAUGGAUGUAUCUAUCAUCCUUCCUUGUCUUCAUAGUUUUAUUUUCAGCAUUAUGCACCAUUUGGCUACUUAUUGCUGACACUAUAGGAAUCAUAUACUUCUUGCCAAUACCAUGGCACAAGUUUAAUACUCUUCUCUUCCUAUGCAUAGCUGUGGCUCUUCUAACAGUCUCUUCCUUACUUAUUCAUCAUAUUAACCUACCUUCUAUGCUGGAUGAAACCCUUACAGAAGAUAGCCUAUAUUUUCUUCACAUAGCUGGAAUACUCAGCCUGUUGGCCUCGCUCCUAGCCCUCAUUCAAAGCCUCCUAACGUCUUUUGGUCGACCUUAUCCCAUAUGGUGUUCUGCUUAUAAAAAUGAACCAGGCUGCCCUAGCCCUGUGUCUCCACCAGCAUCAUUGCCAGAAUCCCCUACAACUCGUCCAGUCAUGGCGACGAUGGCUGCUCUGGCUGGCAUGUCCUCCGCAGUCGUGGCUACCGCACCUCGACUAGGGAACCGUAACCGUAGUGCUUUGCAUGAUCGAGAGCAAGUACCUCUUCGAUCAGUCAGAAACUCCGUCAGCUGGGACGAUGGAGUGAAACCAAGCAGCUCUCGGUUAAAGCAACUUAACGAGUACCCUCCGUUGCUAAAUGAAACAUGAAAAACAAACAGCGCUUCAAAUUUGUCAAUGGUUAGAAUUUAUGUCCGAAUGACAGUGAAGUUGCAGAGGAAAUUAACUGAAUGUUCAACGAUGGCCCGAAGGUUCGCGUAUGCGGUUCUUCCAGAUUUGUAUUAACCCAAUGGUCGAAUUUUCCUAUUGGGCACUACAUAUAAUGUUACACCACCAGAGGACCUCCAACAAUGUUUGGUACGAACUGUAAAGAUAUUGUGUAUUCGUAGUGUUAAUAUACAUUUGAAGCACAA